UAGGGAAUCUUCCACAAUGGACGCAAGUCUGAUGGAGCAACGGCCGCGUGAGUGAAGAAGGUUUUCGGACCGUAAAGCUCUGUUGUUGGUGAAGAAGGAUAGAGGUAGUAACUGGCCUUUAUUUGACGGUAAUCAACCAGAAAGUCACGGCUAACUACGUGCCAGCAGCCGCGGUAAUACGUAGGUGGCAAGCGUUGUCCGGAUUUAUUGGGCGUAAAGCGAGCGCAGGCGGAAGAAUAAGUCUGAUGUGAAAGCCCUCGGCUUAACCGAGGAAUUGCAUCGGAAACUGUUUUCUUGAGUGCAGAAGAGGAGAGUAGAACUCCAUGUGUAGCGGUGGAAUGCGUAGAUAUAUGGAAGAAUACCAGUGGCGAAGGCGGCUCUCUGGUCUGCAACUGACGCUGAGGCUCGAAAGCAUGGGUAGCGAACAGGAUUAGAUACCCUGGUAGUCCAUGCCGUAAACGAUGAGUGCUAAGUGUUGAGAGGCUUCCGCCUCUCAGUGCUGCAGCUAACGCAUUAAGCACUCCGCCUGGGGGAGUACGACCGCAAGGUUGAAAC
rnacentral:rRNA from 1 species